rnacentral:lncRNA from 1 species
AAACAUAAUCAAACUACUUAUAUACAUAUAUGACCAUUAACCUAUUUACAUGUCUGUCAUAACAUUGCCUACAUAAGUGUACAGACCCAUUCUACCCGGGCCCAAACCCACCUAAACCUAAACCCAAAACCCAUUACAAACUAAACCCAAAUAAGCCUAGACCUGGCCCAAUUAACCCAAUUACCCCAAACCCAUUUCUAGCAGCCCAAAAUAAAUAAAAACAGAAAAGAAAGAAAAAACCUAGCCCUAGGUGCACCGCACCUAGGGUAUUCAGACCCAACUACCGCCACCGC